rnacentral:rRNA from 1 species
UACGUAGGUGGCAAGCGUUGUCCGGAAUUACUGGGUGUAAAGGGAGCGCAGGCGGGAAGCCAAGUCAGCUGUGAAAACUACGGGCUUAACUUGUAGACUGCAGUUGAAACUGGUUUUCUUGAGUGAAGUAGAGGUUGGCGGAAUUCCGAGUGUAGCGGUGAAAUGCGUAGAUAUUCGGAGGAACACCGGUGGCGAAGGCGGCCAACUGGGCUUUAACUGACGCUGAGGCUCGAAAGUGCGGGGAGCAAACAGG